GCGGACGUGGCGAAACUGGUAGACGCAGCGGACUUAAAAUCCGCCGCCUUUUGGCUUACGGGUUCGACCCCCGUCGUCCGCACCA
rnacentral:tRNA from 1 species